rnacentral:rRNA from 1 species
AGAGUUUGAUCCUGGCUCAGGAUGAACGCUGGCGGCGUGCCUAAUACAUGCAAGUCGAGCGAACGGACGAGAAGCUUGCUUCUCUGAUGUUAGCGGCGGACGGGUGAGUAACACGUGGAUAACCUACCUAUAAGACUGGGAUAACUUCGGGAAACCGGAGCUAAUACCGGAUAAUAUUUUGAACCGCAUGGUUCAAAAGUGAAAGACGGUCUUGCUGUCACUUAUAGAUGGAUCCGCGCUGCAUUAGCUAGUUGGUAAGGUAACGGCUUACCAAGGCAACGAUGCAUAGCCGACCUGAGAGGGUGAUCGGCCACACUGGAACUGAGACACGGUCCAGACUCCUACGGGAGGCAGCAGUAGGGAAUCUUCCGCAAUGGGCGAAAGCCUGACGGAGCAACGCCGCGUGAGUGAUGAAGGUCUUCGGAUCGUAAAACUCUGUUAUUAGGGAAGAACAUAUGUGUAAGUAACUGUGCACAUCUGACGGUACCUAAUCAGAAAGCCACGGCUAACUACGUGCCAGCAGCCGCGGUAAUACGUAGGUGGCAAGCGUUAUCCGGAAUUAUUGGGCGUAAAGCGCGCGUAGGCGGUUUUUUAAGUCUGAUGUGAAAGCCCACGGCUCAACCGUGGAGGGUCAUUGGAAACUGGAAAACUUGAGUGCAGAAGAGGAAAGUGGAAUUCCAUGUGUAGCGGUGAAAUGCGCAGAGAUAUGGAGGAACACCAGUGGCGAAGGCGACUUUCUGGUCUGUAACUGACGCUGAUGUGCGAAAGCGUGGGGAUCAAACAGGAUUAGAUACCCUGGUAGUCCACGCCGUAAACGAUGAGUGCUAAGUGUUAGGGGGUUUCCGCCCCUUAGUGCUGCAGCUAACGCAUUAAGCACUCCGCCUGGGGAGUACGACCGCAAGGUUGAAACUCAAAGGAAUUGACGGGGACCCGCACAAGCGGUGGAGCAUGUGGUUUAAUUCGAAGCAACGCGAAGAACCUUACCAAAUCUUGACAUCCUUUGACAACUCUAGAGAUAGAGCCUUCCCCUUCGGGGGACAAAGUGACAGGUGGUGCAUGGUUGUCGUCAGCUCGUGUCGUGAGAUGUUGGGUUAAGUCCCGCAACGAGCGCAACCCUUAAGCUUAGUUGCCAUCAUUAAGUUGGGCACUCUAAGUUGACUGCCGGUGACAAACCGGAGGAAGGUGGGGAUGACGUCAAAUCAUCAUGCCCCUUAUGAUUUGGGCUACACACGUGCUACAAUGGACAAUACAAAGGGCAGCGAAACCGCGAGGUCAAGCAAAUCCAUAAAGUUGUUCUCAGUUCGGAUUGUAGUCUGCAACUCGACUACAUGAAGCUGGAAUCGCUAGUAAUCGUAGAUCAGCAUGCUACGGUGAAUACGUUCCCGGGUCUUGUACACACCGCCCGUCACACCACGAGAGUUUGUAACACCCGAAGCCGGUGGAGUAACCUUUUAGGAGCUAGCCGUCGAAGGUGGGACAAAUGAUUGGGGUGAAGUCGUAACAAGGUAGCCGUAUCGGAAGGUGCGGCUGGAUCACCU